GCGCCUUCCCCCCUCCCACGCCUCAGGCCUCACCGGACACUGGACUAGGAAUAACAGCAUUUAUUCUUCCUUCUGGUUGUACUCUUUGUGUCUUAACUAUUUAUGAGGUCGAGUUGUUUGUGCAGUUUGAUUAUUUUGCUGGCAGGGCGGUAGGCGGAGCACCGGCGACCUGUGCCUCUUCAUAAUUCAACGGUCGGGCUGACAAUCCGGCCAGACGGAGUGCACACACAUUCAGAGGAACGCGCCGUUCAAGUGAGAUCGCAGUGAGCGCCCACGCAACGAGUUUUGUGCAGCGUGUAGGGGAUCACUCGAUGGGCUGUACACACGCAGUGAGUAGUGAAUAUUAAUGUACUAGCAGUGUAAAUAGAUAUGUAUACUCUUGAUUUGCAGCCACAGCUGAUUUGUUAUGGUUUUAAAAAGAACUUAAUGAAAAUCAAAGUAAAGGCCGAUCGGCCCUGUGCCCUGCGGGUCCUAUAUACCCUACAGACUCGCUACAGACUGUGCUUGGGAUCCGCUCGCUACUUUGGCCUAGAAUGGCUGGAGCAUUUCUUGUGGAUUCACAGUCAACGUUCAACGUACUGCAACAUGCAGCAGCCACCAUGAGUUGUAUUGCAUAGCUAAUCACAUCACUUACAGUUCCACACAUUAUAUUAGUGAAUGCUUUGUGUGAAUGUGUCUGACGUCUGCCUAAGUCUGAUGAACGUGAUUAUAUAGUGGAAAGAAUUAUUUGGCCCAGCCAUCUUAUGUGCAUAUUUACGUACACACUUAUAUAGGGAAUUCUUUACACUUUUGAAGGCUCUACGGAGAGAUGCAACUCAUAUACACACAUAUCUGCGACCUUUCCAGUCGCCUUCUCGUGCAGCUGCUAUCCACUACCUGCUCUGGGUAGGGGCCUUCCAAAGCUACAGGCAAACAAUUGCUGCAUUCCAGAAGUCACCGCUAAAACGCCGCAACGCUACAGGACCUGAGCGCUCCCAGUCGUUGCUUCGCUUCUACAAGCAGCACCAACGGCGACGCUACAUCUUGGAACACUUUCAGCGUUCCCUUCCAUUCGGUAUAGUACACUCCUUCACGUCUCUCAAUAUAUAUGGUAUGUUAUACUCGUGUCUUAAUGGAAAGGCGUACUUACAUAUUUGAUAGGUAUCAGUAUGUUUCUGAUGUGUACACUUUAUAACAACUCUCAUGUGUUCCAGGUUCCACGUGAAAAUCCCUACACAGUUUAAUCAGCUGCUAGGCACUGCAUAUUAAUAUUUAUGAGUAAUAUUGACGAAACAAUUCAGAAGUGACUGAUUUCUCAUCCGUGGGGCUGCCUUGACAGCGAUCUUAGUGAGAAUUGUUGACUUCUAGCGACUCAGCGACUUCUACUCUGAGCGCUUCUCGUCGGUGCGUUAAGCACCUGGUGGUCUCGCUACAUAUAUUGGUCUUCUCGACGGUCCAAUUAAAACACGGCAGGAGAACAACUACGAACUACGGUUGAACAUGGAAACGGCUAUUAGUUCGUUCAGCUUCGUAAGGGACUUCUCAGGGUUGCGCUCGCAAAUACAUUGGAACCAAACACGCUCAUCGUUUCACCAUCCAUAUUUAAAGCUCUACGGAUGGAACAACUCAGAGGGGAUAAAUGCACGUAUCAGCUACCAGCUCCACUGAAUACUGAUCAUCCUGUGCAGACGGACCUGGAAUUCGAGGGAACACUCUUAAAAGAAGAUCGAAACUCCUUCCUAAGUUGUGGCUUGGAAGGGACUGGAACAGGGUAUAAAUGACGUCAAAUGGAACAUUGUCAUUUGGUGCAUAGUGAGGACUUAAGUGCAAUUGCAGACACACACACAUCCGGAUGUAUCGAAGGAAUGGCAGUUCAUUGUGGCUGCUAGAAGAUGUUGGAUAUCAACGACGAAAGACAAGUAUCUAAGGGGUCAACGCGAGGAAGGGAAUACGCCUCAGGGCGGUUGAUGGGACUCUUACGGAACAUACUAUAUAACUCUUAAACGAAAAGCAGUCGUAAUUAAACUUAUACUUAAACGA
rnacentral:sRNA from 1 species